CACCUCAAGAUGAGAUUUCCCAUUUCUUUAAGAAAGUAAGAUCCCUGAGAGAUGAUCAGGUAGAUAGGUCAGGAGUGGAAGUACAGUGAUGUAUGGAGCGGACUGAUACUAAUCGAUCGAGGACUUAACCAA
rnacentral:rRNA from 1 species